rnacentral:rRNA from 1 species
AUACGGGGGGUGCAAGCGUUAAUCGGAAUUACUGGGCGUAAAGCGCGCGUAGGCGGUUAAAUAAGUUGGAUGUGAAAUCCCCGGGCUCAACCUGGGAACUGCAUUCAAAACUGUUUAACUAGAGUAUGGUAGAGGGAAGUGGAAUUCCAGGUGUAGCGGUGAAAUGCGUAGAUAUCUGGAGGAACAUCAGUGGCGAAGGCGACUUCCUGGAUCAAUACUGACGCUGAGGUGCGAAAGCGUGGGGAGCAAACAGGAUUAGAAACCCGAGUAGUCC